UACGGGGGGGGCAAGCGUUGUUCGGAAUUACUGAGCGUAAAGGGCGCGUAGGCGGCUUGGUAAGUCGGGGGUGAAAGUCAGCGGCUCAACCGCUGGACUGCCUUCGAGACUGCCUGGCUUGAGCAUGGUAGAGGCUGGCGGAAUUCCCGGUGUAGCGGUGGAAUGCGUAGAGAUCGGGAAGAACAUCGGUGGCGAAGGCGGCCAGCUGGGCCAUUGCUGACGCUGAUGCGCGACAGCGUGGGGAGCAAACAGG
rnacentral:rRNA from 1 species